GACGAACGCUGGCGGCGUGCCUAAUACAUGCAAGUCGAACGCAUUUUCUUUCACCGUAGCUUGCUACACCGAAAGAAAAUGAGUGGCGAACGGGUGAGUAACACGUUGGUAACCUGCCCAUCAGCGGGGGAUAACACUUGGAAACAGGUGCUAAUACCGCAUAAUUCCAUUUACCGCAUGGUAGAUGGAUGAAAGGCGCUUUUGCGUCACUGAUGGAUGGACCCGCGGUGCAUUAGCUAGUUGGUGGGGUAACGGCCUACCAAGGCUGCGAUGCAUAGCCGACCUGAGAGGGUGAUCGGCCACACUGGGACUGAGACACGGCCCAGACUCCUACGGGAGGCAGCAGUAGGGAAUCUUCGGUAAUGGACACAAGUCUGACCGAGCAACGCCGCGUGAGUGAAGAAGGUUUUCGGAUCGUAAAACUCUGUUGUUAGAGAAGAACAAGGAUGAGAGUGGAAAGUUCAUCCCUUGACGGUAUCUAACCAGAAAGCCACGGCUAACUACGUG
rnacentral:rRNA from 1 species